CAGAUCCAAAUCUUUAAAAGGCAUACAUAUCUGAAAAAUCGGUCUCAAAAUGAGUUGCCUUUGCAGCCUGGAGAGCUGUGCGCAGUGCCACAGGAGGAAAUUUCACUGGUGAGUGAAAUAAGCAAGAUAGGAGUUGAAGUGUACAUGAAGCAGAGUCCAAGCCUUCUCCUUCUGGAUGUUCAGCUGGAUCAUCCUGACUGCUCCCACUUUCAUCUUGGCUUUCAAAGGCAAGAGGAAAUUAUAAGGAAUAUUCUGAGUGGCUUUCAUCCAGGAGUUCUGUGGGACCCGCAACACCUGGAUGGUAGAUGCAAACAGAUAAAGAAUAUUGGUCACCAAAAGGAGUUCUUUUCAUCAUAGAUCUCUGAAGGUAGACACCUAUUUGCAGACUUCUCAAAGGGCUAUAUGGAUGUGCUCUACUUGUUGGAGGAUGGUCCAUCCACUCUUCUUCCUGUACUUACCAGGACAGAACAGCCGCAACUUCUCAGACAAUUCAUUCUUCUUUUCCUCACCUACUACCAUCUAAGAAAGGUACUUGUCGACUGUGGCUUUGGACAAGAGUCCUUUUCUUACCACAGGGUGGGCAGCACCAGCUCAUUAGAACCAUUUGUGUGACUGACUGAAGACAGCUCACCUUGGAACACUGCA